rnacentral:tRNA from 1 species
UAGAAAGAAGCCAGGUAUAGAUAGGGCGUUUAGCUGUUAACUAAAGUUUCGUGGGCUCAAGUCCCAUCAGUCUAG